rnacentral:lncRNA from 1 species
UCCAGGAUAGACAGAAUUUAAUGCUUUAAAGUCGACGUGUUCAGUAUCAAAGUACUCGGAGUCACAAAAGGCUUCCUAUUCCUCUGGGAAUGACAGUGAAAGGUCUGCCUCGUGACUCAGGAGCUAGCGAGCUGUCAUGUUUUGAUGGUUUUCUUUUUUUUUUUUUUUUUUUUAAGUUGCUAGUGAUCUAAGCACACACAAUUUUGAAAGAAAAUUAGAUCAUUUAAUAAACGGGGUUGGUAAACCUGUUAAUCACCCAUUUGUUUUAUUUCCAAAUAAAUUUUGUAAUUUUACCAUCUACUUUGGUCCCUUGGCGGGAAAUGUCCAGUUCUCUGAAGACAUCUGACCUGUGUCCAUUAUAUGAUACGCUUCCGUUAAUUCAGUGAUGCCAUGGGGGGAAACAUGAAGGCAUUCUAUAUAGCACUUACAGCAAUAGGAAAUCACAAAAACUGACAGUGGGUUGGGCAAACCGCUAAGAGUGCCAGAUUGUGUGGGAAAUAGCCUACAAUUCAUUUCACUUUUGGAGGAAGUUAGAAAACUGUAUGUAAAGUAAGGUCCUAGCUUUUUUAAAGCAAGUUUUAAAAAUUUCUUUUCAGUUAUUAAAGAACUAACUUACUGAACAGGAGUAAAAUUAUUGGUGAAAAAAAAUAGUUGUUUUUCUAGUGUAAAUAGGAAAGCCUGCUUAAACCAGAACACUAAUGGAAAAGGUCUUCAAAGUAGCUAAGGGAAAGGAUUAAGAAAAACAAAAAACACUUUUGAAGAGGAACAUUGAAAUUAUCCUUGUGAUUGAUAAGAAUUUUAAGUAAAGCAUGUUGAGGACUGUAGGUAAAUACACACAUGUACACAUAUACACCCUGUGCGCACACACACACAGUUCUACUCAGGUAAAACCUUAAAAUCAGAUUCUGACAUCCUAGAAGAGGGCAAAGAAGGAAGGGGCUGGAGAGGUGGCUCAGCAGCUGAGAGCUCACUGAACUUGAUUCCCAGUUCCAUCUGUAGCGCCUGCCUCACGGGAUCCAAAACUCCCUUGUAGCCUCUUUGCUCAGAGACUCUCAUGUGCACAUAUCCUACAGACUUACACAUGUGCAUGUAAUUAGAAAUAAAAUGUUAAAAUCCUGAAGAUAGUGGCAUCCUGACCGAGACCAGAAUAAGAUGAGAGAUGCAGAUGUUACUGGUUGGGUUCUUUGUUUAUUUUGCCUGUGCAGUGAAAACAUCUUCACAUACACACAUGUACUUGGAUAGCAAUUCUCUGAUUAUUAAGUGAGACAAAACUUUGAAGACAUCAAGGGUACCCUAUUCAUAAUUAGAAAAUACAGAAACUAUUUUUCCAUUGUUGAUCUAUAGAUUCAAUACCAUGUCAACUCCAAUGGACUUUCUUUCACAGACAUGGGCAGGUUAUAUGGAAAUACGGAUAUGUUCAUUAUCUUGUGGUAUUAGUUUCACAAAUAUAUUUGUAAAGGCUUAUUAACUGUUGUAUAUAUGUUUUGUUUCAUUUAUUAUAUGUCAAUUGUACUGUAAAGCUGGUAAAAAUAUAAAUAUUCUAUUGAUAAUAGUUUGUGUAAAGUGGGUACUAAAUAAACAAUGAUGUUUACAAAAAUAUAGAGCAAUAAAAAGAAUUUAGUAUAGUUG